AAUAGGAUGGCAUAAGAGAAGCCCAUAUUUUAGAUUUAAAGUGAAAAGGCUUCAUCUCUCGUGUCUAUAUCAGAUGAUGCAAGGCGUGUCGGUGUUAUUUCUAAAUAAUAUUUCUGGUUUUUGUGUAGGUUUGUGUAGAAACGUCAAUUAUGUGCUUGCCCGUGGCGUAAAUGAACAAUGAAAAUGCAGUAGAUUAGCGGCUAAUAAAAAAUGCUCGAGCUUUUAUACUAUCGAUAUUGAUAGCUCUCCCUGAAGUGACAAAAGGCCAAAGUGAUUAAAAUUCCAAUUUAGGGCUAUUGCUUUAGUACCUAAGGUGGAUAGUUAUGCUCUACAGUGGUGCAGUCAAAUGAUUCUGGUUCAGGUUUAAUCAACUCCUUUGAUAUACUUCGAAAUAGCCGAGAUUUUGGUUAUUGGUCUAAUGCUAUGAUUUGCAAUUGGUUCUACUGGUUUCUCUUUUUCGAGGUAUAUGCAAAGUUUGUUUAUCUAGAUUCUUCUUAGUUUAUGACUACAAGGCCUUCGAUGAAAAGGCAAGCUAGCUACACGGAAAUUAUCAAUCUAGGAAUUGUUCAAUGUGCUCAAUAGCUUCUAUUUUCUGAAAUUUAGCCUGCAUCUAAAGAUAGCUUGCAUGUACAUAAUACUAACUCUCCUUACGUAUUAAUUAUGCUCUACCCUGCACCUAUUUUUGUUCUUGGCAUCCAGAAUGAGGUGCAAAACAUCUCUCAUGUCAUGUAACAAUAGUAGUAUAAAUAACAUAUUUUCCCUCUAAAAAAUAUUGUUAUACCAAUGUCCGCUCUAAAUAAGGUCACUGUUGGUUAUACGAUUUUAAUCUUCAGAUUCA